UACGAAGGGGGGCUAGCGUUGCUCGGAUUGACUGGGCGUAAAGGGCGCGUAGGCGGUUCGUACAGUCAGACGUGAAAUCCCUGGGCUUAACCUGGGAAUUGCAUUCGAAACUGCAAGUCUUGAGUUCUCGAGAGGAUGGUGGAAUUCCUGGAGUAGUAGUGAAAUACGUAGAUAUCAGGAGGAACACCGGAGGCGAAGGCGGCCAUCUGGCGAGACACUGACGCUAAGGCGCGAAAGCGUGGGUAGCAAACAGGA
rnacentral:rRNA from 1 species